GUGUGAUGAUACAUUUUUAACCCCGAGAACUUGUUCGAUGAUGAACAAAACUACGCAACAACACUCUAAUUUUUUACUGACU
rnacentral:snoRNA from 1 species